GACGAAGGUGGCGAGCGUUGUUCGGAAUCACUGGGCAUAGAGCGCACGUAGGCGGCGGCGUAAGUCGGGUGUGAAAUCCCUCGGCCCAACCGAGGAACUGCGCCCGAUACUGCGUUGCUUGAGGAUCAGAGGGGUGCACGGAAUUUCCGGUGGAGCGGUGAAAUGCGUUGAUAUCGGAAGGAACGUCGGCGGCGAAAGCGGUGCACUGGCUGAUUUCUGACGCUGAGGUGCGAAAGCCAGGGGAGCAAACGGG
rnacentral:rRNA from 1 species